rnacentral:snRNA from 1 species
UCUUUUGCACAGUGGCAGUAUCGUAGCCAAUGAGGUUUAUCCAAGGCGCGAUUAUUGCUAAUUGAAAACUUUUCUCACUUACAUAC